UGAGAGGGUGACCGGCCACAUUGGGACUGAGACACGGCCCAGACUCCUACGGGAGGCAGCAGUGGGGAAUAUUGCACAAUGGAGGAAACUUUGAUGCAGCGACGCCGCGUGAGUGAAGAAGUAAUUCGUUAUGUAAAGAUCUAUCAGCAGGGAAGAUAGGACGGUACCUGACUAAGAAGCUCCGGCUAAAUACGUGCCAGCAG
rnacentral:rRNA from 1 species